UUUUUGGAGAGUUUGAUCCUGGCUCAGGACGAACGCUGGCGGCGUGCCUAAUACAUGCAAGUCGAGCGGACCGAAGGGAGCUUGCUCCUUUAGGUUAGCGGCGGACGGGUGAGUAACACGUGGGCAACCUGCCCUGCAGACUGGGAUAACUUCGGGAAACCGGAGCUAAUACCGGAUAACACCGAAAACCGCAUGGUUUUCGGUUGAAAGGCGGCUUUUAGCUGUCACUGCAGGAUGGGCCCGCGGCGCAUUAGCUAGUUGGUGAGGUAACGGCUCACCAAGGCGACGAUGCGUAGCCGACCUGAGAGGGUGACCGGCCACACUGGGACUGAGACACGGCCCAGACUCCUACGGGAGGCAGCAGUAGGGAAUCUUCCGCAAUGGACGAAAGUCUGACGGAGCAACGCCGCGUGAGCGAAGAAGGUCUUCGGAUCGUAAAGCUCUGUUGUCAGGGAAGAACAAGUACCGUUCGAACAGGGCGGUACCUUGACGGUACCUGACGAGGAAGCCACGGCUAACUACGUGCCAGCAGCCGCGGUAAUACGUAGGUGGCAAGCGUUGUCCGGAAUUAUUGGGCGUAAAGCGCGCGCAG
rnacentral:rRNA from 1 species